GAUGAACGCUGGCGGCGUGCCUAAUACAUGCAAGUCGAGCGAACGGACGAGAAGCUUGCUUCUCUGAUGUUAGCGGCGGACGGGUGAGUAACACGUGGAUAACCUACCUAUAAGACUGGGAUAACUUCGGGAAACCGGAGCUAAUACCGGAUAAUAUUUUGAACCGCAUGGUUCAAAAGUGAAAGACGGUCUUGCUGACACUUAUAGAUGGAUCCGCGCUGCAUUAGCUAGUUGGUAAGGUAACGGCUUACCAAGGCAACGAUGCAUAGCCGACCUGAGAGGGUGAUCGGCCACACUGGAACUGAGACACGGUCCAGACUCCUACGGGAGGCAGCAGUAGGGAAUCUUCCGCAAUGGGCGAAAGCCUGACGGAGCAACGCCGCGUGAGUGAUGAAGGUCUUCGGAUCGUAAAACUCUGUUAUUAGGGAAGAACAUAUGUGUAAGUAACUGUGCACAUCUUGACGGUACCUAAUCAGAAAGCCACGGCUAACUACGUGCCAGCAGCCGCGGUAAUACGUAGGUGGCAAGCGUUAUCCGGAAUUAUUGGGCGUAAAGCGCGCGUAGGCGGUUUUUUAAGUCUGAUGUGAAAGCCCGCGGCUCAACCGUGGAGGGUCAUUGGAAACUGGAAAACUUGAGUGCAGAAGAGGAAAGUGGAAUUCCAUGUGUAGCGGUGAAAUGCGCAGAGAUAUGGAGGAACACCAGUGGCGAAGGCGACUUUCUGGUCUGUAACUGACGCUGAUGUGCGAAAGCGUGGGGAUCAAACAGGAUUAGAUACCCUGGUAGUCCACGCCGUAAACGAUGAGUGCUAAGUGUUAGGGGGUUUCCGCCCCUUAGUGCUGCAGCUAACGCAUUAAGCACUCCGCCUGGGGAGUACGACCGCAAGGUUGAAACUCAAAGGAAUUGACGGGGACCCGCACAAGCGGUGGAGCAUGUGGUUUAAUUCGAAGCAACGCGAAGAACCUUACCAAAUCUUGACAUCCUUUGACAACUCUAGAGAUAGAGCUUUCCCCUUCGGGGGACAAAGUGACAGGUGGUGCAUGGUUGUCGUCAGCUCGUGUCGUGAGAUGUUGGGUUAAGUCCCGCAACGAGCGCAACCCUUAAGCUUAGUUGCCAUCAUUAAGUUGGGCACUCUAAGUUGACUGCCGGUGACAAACCGGAGGAAGGUGGGGAUGACGUCAAAUCAUCAUGCCCCUUAUGAUUUGGGCUACACACGUGCUACAAUGGACAAUACAAAGGGCAGCGAAACCGUGAGGUCAAGCAAAUCCCAUAAAGUUGUUCUCAGUUCGGAUUGUAGUCUGCAACUCGACUACAUGAAGCUGGAAUCGCUAGUAAUCGUAGAUCAGCAUGCUACGGUGAAUACGUUCCCGGGUCU
rnacentral:rRNA from 1 species